rnacentral:ncRNA from 1 species
AACGAAGCAAUGAAGAGAAUAAGUAGAAAAUCCUCCCUGUUACUUAGAGAAGCGGUGGCUGCUGAAAACCGCUACAAAGGAUUGAUCGAAUUACACUCUCUGAGCUGUUUUCUGCCCGCGUAGAAAACCGGAUAACAAUCCGUUAUGAAAUGAAGUGGAAGAGCCAAUGUGCUCUUAAGCUGGGUGGUACCGCGCAUAAAAGCGUCCCUGCA